AGCAGCCGCGGUAAUUCCAGCUCCAAUAGCGUAUAUUAAAGUUGUUGCAGUUAAAAAGCUCGUAGUUGAAUUUCGGGAUUGACACAUCGGUCGUGCCUUAAGGGGUAUGAACUGGUGUAGUCAAUUUCUCACCUUCUGGAGAACCGCGAUGCCCUUAAUUGGGUGUCGCGGGGAACCAGGACCUUUACUUUGAAAAAAUUAGAGUGUUUAAAGCAGGCAUUUUGCUUGAAUACAUUAGCAUGGAAUAAUAAAUAGGACGGCAUGAUUCUAUUUUGUUGGUUUCUAGGAUCACCGUAAUGAUUAAUAGGGAUAGUUGGGGGCAUUAGUAUUCAAUUGUCAGAGGUGAAAUUCUUGGAUUUAUUGAAGACUAACUACUGCGAAAGCAUUUGCCAAGGAUGUUUUCAUUAAUCAAGAACGAAAGUUAGGGAUCGAAGACGAUCAGAUACCGUCGUAGUCUUAACCAUAAACUAUAGCCGACUAGGAAUCAGACGAUGUUAAUUUUUAUGUACUCGUUGGCACU
rnacentral:rRNA from 1 species